rnacentral:rRNA from 1 species
UUUUAUGAGAGUUUGAUCCUGGCUCAGGACGAACGCUGGCGGCGUGCCUAAUACAUGCAAGUCGAACGCUUCUUUUUCCACCGGAGCUUGCUCCACCGGAAAAAGAGGAGUGGCGAACGGGUGAGUAACACGUGGGUAACCUGCCCAUCAGAAGGGGAUAACACUUGGAAACAGGUGCUAAUACCGUAUAACAAUCGAAACCGCAUGGUUUUGAUUUGAAAGGCGCUUUCAGGUGUCGCUGAUGGAUGGACCCGCGGUGCAUUAGCUAGUUGGUGAGGUAACGGCUCACCAAGGCCACGAUGCAUAGCCGACCUGAGAGGGUGAUCGGCCACAUUGGGACUGAGACACGGCCCAAACUCCUACGGGAGGCAGCAGUAGGGAAUCUUCGGCAAUGGACGAAAGUCUGACCGAGCAACGCCGCGUGAGUGAAGAAGGUUUUCGGAUCGUAAAACUCUGUUGUUAGAGAAGAAC